UCUGGUGCCAGAAGAUUGGCCCGAUGAAAGCAUCUAUGAACCCCGAGGACUGGAAGAAAGCAGCAG
rnacentral:SRP_RNA from 1 species